GACGAACGCUGGCGGCGUGCUUAACACGUGCAAGUCGAACGGAAAGGCCCUUCGGGGUACUCGAGUGGCGAACGGGUGAGUAACACGUGGGUGAUCUGCCCUGCACUUUGGGAUAAGCCUGGGAAACUGGGUCUAAUACCGAAUAUGAUCAUCGGCUUCAUGGUCGGUGGUGGAAAGCUUUUGCGGUGUGGGAUGGGCCCGCGGCCUAUCAGCUUGUUGGUGGGGUAAUGGCCUACCAAGGCGACGACGGGUAGCCGGCCUGAGAGGGUGACCGGCCACACUGGGACUGAGAUACGGCCCAGACUCCUACGGGAGGCAGCAGUGGGGAAUAUUGCACAAUGGGCGCAAGCCUGAUGCAGCGACGCCGCGUGAGGGAUGACGGCCUUCGGGUUGUAAACCUCUUUCAGCACAGACGAAGCGCAAGUGACGGUAGGUGCAGAAGAAGGACCGGCCAACUACGUG
rnacentral:rRNA from 1 species